rnacentral:lncRNA from 1 species
CAUUCACAACUUUGACCGAGAAGGCUUGAGUAGGGAGUACUGAUAAUUUCAACAAGCUUACGACUCGCUCACUGACGAAGUUAUGAGUCGAGCCGCUGUCGAUGAGGAUGACGAUGCGUUGACUAUGGAUGGUUGCAUUAACACGCAUCAUUUUUGUGGUGGACCAACCAAUGAAAGCAUGAAGGGAAAUUUUGGGCUCAUCUUCUUUCGAUUCUUCUUCUUCUUCUUCGGUCCCUUCUAAGAGCAAGACUUGAGCUCGGUGACAGC